AGCAGCGUGGCUCAGUGGAAAGAGCCCGGGUUUGAGAGUCCGAGGUCAUGGGUUCUAAUCCCUGCUCUGCCA
rnacentral:tRNA from 1 species